rnacentral:rRNA from 1 species
GACGAACGCUGGCGGCAUGCCUAACACAUGCAAGUCGAGCUAGUAGAUCCCUUCGGGGUGAAGCUCGCGGCGGACGGGUGAGUAACACGUGGGCAACCUGCCUCAUAGAGGGGAAUAGCCUUCCGAAAGGAAGAUUAAUACCGCAUAAGAUUGUAGUACCGCAUGGUAUAGCAAUUAAAGGAGUAAUCCGCUAUGAGAUGGGCCCGCGGCGCAUUAGCUAGUUGGUGAGGUAACGGCUCACCAAGGCGACGAUGCGUAGCCGACCUGAGAGGGUGAUCGGCCACAUUGGGACUGAGACACGGCCCAGACGCCUACGUGAGGCAGCAGUGGGGAAUAUUGGACAAUGGGGGAAACCCUGAUGCAGCAAUGCCGCGUGAGUGAUGACGGCCUUCGGGUUGUAAAGCUCUGUCUUCGGGGACGAUAAUGACGGUACCCGAGGAGGAAGCCACGGCUAACUACGUGCCAGCAGCCGCAGUAA